GACAGAGGAUGCAAGCGUUAUCCGGAAUGAUUGGGCGUAAAGCGUCUGUAGGUGGCUUUUUAAGUCCGCCGUCAAAUCCCAGGGCUCAACCCUGGACAGGCGGUGGAAACUACCAAGCUGGAGUACGGUAGGGGCAGAGGGAAUUCCGGUGGAGCGGUGAAAUGCGUAGAGAUCGGAAAGAACACCAACGGCGAAAGCAACUCUCGCUGGGCCGACACUGACACUGGGAGACGAAAGCUAGGGGAGCGAAUGGG
rnacentral:rRNA from 1 species